CUUGGAAAUGUUGAAAUCGUCUACAGAAGUGUGAAAACUGAUGCUCAGACAUACUCCGUGCAAGACUUCUCUCAAAUGGAAGUCUCAGAACAGCCGAGUUGGUGUCGGAUCUGAUUCCCUCACAGAUGUUUGUCCUUUAAGGAGACAUAAGAAGGUGCUAGAUGGACUCAUUGGCUCCAUGUGUGCUUUGAGAGGGAAACUGACAGUCGUUGGAGAGGGCUGAAGAGAGCAUCAUUACAGGGAGGAUGGGAUCCUGAGAUGCCAUGGGAGACACAGCAAUCUACAGCAGGAAGUGUAAACUUGUGAGGAGCUUCAUGACAAACCCACCAGACCUCCGAGAGCAAGUUUCCCAUUUAUGUCUCUGCCAUCCAUAGACCCUUGCGGGUGAUUUUGAAAGUGGAGCAGAUGGAGGUGGAUGCUUCAGGAGUGGGUACCACCCAAGCUUUUAUGACUAACACUUUCACAUCAAACUUUCCCAGAAUUGGAGCAUAUUUUCUGAGGACUGUUGGUCAGUGCUGCAUACCUUGUUCCUCAGAGUUUAUUUCAGUUCUGUUAA